rnacentral:lncRNA from 1 species
CAAGGCUGCUUUGAGGCCUUGACUUGGGAAGAUAACAAAUAUUUUCUUCCUUCUAAAUGUGACCCAAUUCAGGAAACUAGGCGACCGAGUUUUGAAAUCAGUGGAAUUCGAGUACGAUAGCUAAGGAGAUGGAGAAAACACCGGUCUGGAUUACAUUGUCAAACUAAGGCAACCAUGCAUGGCAUCAGACAGGAGACGCAUCUAACCACGAUGUAUACUGGACGUUUCAAGUCGCACGUCUAUCUUGGAACAUGACGUGGAUGUGGGGCACGCUGCUCCUAUUCAUCAGCAUCCGUACCGGGUUAACGCUAUGAGAGGAAAUGGCUUCCUGGAUUCCUGAAGCAGCUGAUUGGAUGGCCCCAUCGCUGAUUGGAGCUUUGACCCCUCCCUCUCAUCACGGGAUACAGCUGUCUCUUCAUUAUCAACUCCUUCUCCAGCUUAAUAAAAGCCAGUGUUCCUUUGUCAGAAGAGAUCUUCUUUUUAUGUCCUGUGUUGGUUGUUGGUCAGUGAAAGUUUUGUUGAUAUUAUUUUGUAGCCACUCCUCCCGAGGUAUGUGUAUGCCAAUAGGACUUUUUGAUUAUUGAAAUUGUUCACUAAAAGUAUUAGUAAUUAUUUCAUUUGUUCCCAGGGGUGGAAGGGGAACGCACCUUAGGAGUGUUUAGGCAAGAGGCCUGCGGGCAUACAUAACCCGUAGUAUUUAAUCUGUGUAUCGUUUUACCGUGUUAAGGAAUAAUAAAUUCCC